rnacentral:rRNA from 1 species
ACCUACGGGCGGCUGCAGUGGGGAAUAUUGGACAAUGGGCGAAAGCCUGAUCCAGCAAUGCCGCGUGAGUGAUGAAGGCCUUCGGGUUGUAAAGCUCUUUUGCCCGGGACGAUAAUGACGGUACCGGGAGAAUAAGCCCCGGCUAACUCCGUGCCAGCAGCCGCGGUAAUACGGAGGGGGCUAGCGUUGUUCGGAAUCACUGGGCGUAAAGCGUACGUAGGCGGCUUGCCAAGUCAGGGGUGAAAGCCUGGGGCUUAACCUCAGAACUGCCCUUGAAACUGGCUCGCUUGAACACAGGAGAGGUGAGUGGAAUUCCGAGUGUAGAGGUGAAAUUCGUAGAUAUUCGGAGGAACACCAGUGGCGAAGGCGACUCACUGGACUGUAGUUGACGCUGAGGUACGAAAGCGUGGGGAGCAAACAGGAUUAGAUACCCCGGUAGUC